GCAGAGUAUGAGAAUGCUCUUGCUUCAGAUCAUUCAAACCAGCAUUUGAUUUUGUCAGCGUUCUGGACUUUGGCCAUUCUAAAACAUGUAUAGUGGUAUCUUACGGCUAUUUUAAUUUGCAUUUCCCUGAUGACACUCCACUUUUCCUGAGCCUAUUUGCCAUCUGUCUAUCUUCUCCAUUGAAGUGUCUGUUAAAGUUUUUGGACUACUUUUUAAUCUACUUCAUGCUUUCUUAUUGAAUUUUAAGAGUUCUUUAUAUUUUGGAUAAUUGUCCUUUAUCACAUGUGUAUUUACAAAUAUUUUCUCCCUGUAUAUGGCUCUUCUUGUUGUACUAACAUUGUCUUCUAAAGUGUUUAUUUGUUAGAUAUUACAUGUGAAUGUUUGUUGGUACCCAAAGAUGGAACUGAAACUAAGGGAGACAAAUCACUUUAAAAGUGAAAGGUGAAGAACCUAAUGAAGGAGGAGAUAUGCAGGAGUUCCCGUCAUGGCGCAGUGGAAACGAAUCCAACUAGGAACCAUGAGGAUGCAGGUUCGAUCCCUGGCCUUGCUCAGUGGGUUAAGGAUCUGGCGUUGCUGUGAGCUGUGGUGUAGGUCACAGACAUGGCUCAGAUCCGAUGUUGCUGUGGCUGUGGCAUAGGCCUGCGGUUUUAGUUCCGAUUGGACCCCUAACCUGGGAACCUCCAUGUGUCACAAGUGGGGGCCCAAAAAGCAAAAAAAAAAAAAAAAAAAAAAAAAAAAGGAGAUAUGCAGAUACAAGAAAGAAAAUAACUUAUGUAAUAUGUAGAAUGUUUAAAUCAGCACCUAGCACAUAGAAAGUAUUCAAUAUUAGUUGGUACAAUAAUGAGAAAAUGUAGACAGAAGAAAGAAGAAAAUGGGGCAAGAAAGAAUGCAAGAUUGAGAGAGGACAAAAGUCAGAAAAAAAGGAAAAAAGUAGUAUUAACUGACUAUUGCUAUUUCACUUUUUAUUCAACUAUAAUUCAUUUUUUGCUUGCCACUAAACGUUUUAUUUUACUGUGAUAUUCAGUGUCAUUAUAUAUUAUUUUUAUUGUGUCUGCCUAAAAUCUUUAAAAACGAAUAUGAAGACAAGUGUAUUCAUUCUGAAGGAGUUUAUUAUAUUCCAUUAAAAGACCAUUAUCAUAAGCUUUUAUAUAACUCCAAUUUUGUGCCUACUUAAUUAAGUUUUGAAAUCUGUGCAGAUGAGAUAAAGGGAAGAGAGUGUGCAUUUGACGGACACUUUCCAGAGAAGAUGAAUUUCUAAAUGAUAUGAAAAACUCAUUUCAUAUCAUCAAGUGGCAUGAUUGACCAUGGCUUUGUAUAACUUCAAGAGCACCAUUUACGUUUAUAAAUGGUAGUUUUUGGAGCUAUGCGCUGCUGUGAUCUAUCUGAAAUUCAACUUCUCUUACUUUUUUUGGCCUAGCCCUUGUAAUGUUUCUUGGCAUUAACAGUUUAUUGAGAUAUGGUUUACAGAGAGUAAAACAGAUCCUUUACAAGUACACAUUUUGAUGAGUUUUGAUGAAUGUAUAGAGUCACUACCACCACAUCAUGAAAUGAAAGUUUCCUCAUUUUAAAUGGUGCCUCUUUCAGCCAACAUAUCUCCUUCCAUUCCCAUCUCCAGCAAAUCAUUGAUCUCCUUUCUGACAGAAUCCAGGUAUAUAAUUUUUAAUUUAUAUUAAAAUCACAGAUCAUUUUGCUCUUAGGAAGAGGUGAAAUGAUAUUAAAUGAUUCAAAUUUGAGAUUAUCUAAAAAAACCACUAUUUUGAAAUACUAGGUUAGUUGACAUAAUAAAAUAUCAUGACAUAUGUAUGUCAUGGCAAAAAUAAUGAGUAAAGACAUGACUUUCAGUGGCAUUUUAUUUGUAUUUUUUUGUAUUUUAUUACUCUUCGCUGCUUUUAUUCUUUUUAGGUCUUUCCCCCUUUUUCUCUUUUGUAUAUACUUCAUCUCUUUAUUAUUUAAGGAGAUCCCAGUUUUUCCAAAGAAAAAAUUAGGAAAAAUAGAAACCAAGUCCACUUGAAGCUUAAGAGUUACAAUGAGAUCAGAUUUUGGUCAAUCCAUGGGCUCAUUGUUGAAGGCAAUUCCAUUAAACUUGUUACUUUUUCAACUAUAACUGAUGCAUGUGCAGUGCAAUGAUUUUAUGAUUGUAUUUAGUAAUAGAUAGUAAUCUCUAAAUUUUUUAAGCCUAUUGAUACCAUUCUUGUUACUUUAAGUUAUGGUUAAGUGUUUCCGGUCAUUCUUUUUUCAUUCAGUAACUGUUGUGUACACAGAAUUCUGCUCAUUCAAAGAAAGGGCAUGUUUUUGGAAUACUGUUUCUGCUUUAGGGCCACCAUUCUACAAUAUCUUUUUCCGUGGUAUUAUUAAUCUUUUUUAUUCAUUUUGUAUCAUAAUAUUUCAAGCUUAUCUAUUAUACACAACACUAGUGAUGCAUGGCCAAACAAGCCAUCUUGUUCCAGGUGCAUGAGGAUGUUUAGGUUGGAACAUAUUUUGUAGGUUUGCAUUUAAUGCUUUCAUUUACAAAAUGUAAAGGUCUACUCUUGGCACCUCACCUUUUUUAUCCUAUUGUCUCCUCACAAUCAGUCAGGAAGAAGAGCGUUACUACCUCUCUUUCACAAAUGAGGAAAAUGAGGCGUAGCAAUCAUAUGCAACUUACAAAAGGUUACAUGUAUGUUCAAGCCUGUUUUUGUAUCAUUGUGAUAAACACUUUUUCCACCAUGACUAAUCACAGUCAUAUAUAUCAGAAGAGUUAUAUGAUUAACUUUCAGCCACGAUAGCAGUUUUCAUCUCAUUAUGUGAACAGUAGAUAAUGUAGAAAACAAUACAUAAAAUCCAAAUUAUAAUGUGCAGGAAAAAAGUAAUUAGAUAAGGUACUAUUGAUAAGGUAUUAUUUUAUGUUUCUCCUUUUUUUCUAAGACAUUGAUCUUAUAAAUCUAUACCAAAAAAAAAA
rnacentral:lncRNA from 1 species